GCACUCCAGGAGGGGCAGCAGCCCCAAGCUGUGCCCGAGUGGGCAGAGGGAUCCUCCUCCCAUCCGCGCUGGCUUUGGGGUCGCAGGAAAUAUCUGAACAGUUUAGCUGGGAAGCACGAAGAGGUGGAUGGAUUUCAUGCUGACAGAGGACACGAUUCAAUAGACGUGGGCAAAUCAUGCUACAAAGAGUGUCCUUGAGCCCAUCUUGGAGGCAGGAACCAUGGCAAUGAAACAACCCCCACGUCCAACUGCAAGGGGGCAGGAUCUGCUGGCCACAGGAGGCUGACCCAUAAAUGUUUUCACUAAAUCUUACCCUGUCUAUACCUCACACAUAGCCUUAGCCUAUAUGUGCCUUAUGUGUGUACCAAUAUUGAAGUGAGUUAGC